rnacentral:misc_RNA from 1 species
GUAAUUAUUAUAAUUAUUCAGACGCUGAUUGAGGAUUAAAAAGGUUAUUGAGUUGUCCAGCCGGCAGGCAAGCCCACCGAGGAAACAUGGGUACGCAAAAAGACAAGGAUUUAGAAAGCGUACUCCCUUUAAAAUGCUAAGCACUCCAAAGCUUUCCGCUCCCAGCAGAGAAUCUGCUAAUAGUAAUGAUCCUUCCGCAGGUUCACCUACGGAAA